UUGAUUAAAGUAAAAAUAAAUAAAUUCCUCAGGCUGUACAUUCAAUCACAGCCAACACGAAGCAGACAGUCGCAAAUAAAUCAAUACAGAAAAAUGUUUUAUGCCAAUAAUACAUCAUACACACAGGACUCACAUGCCUGUGAGUGUGGCCCCUACUCGGCGCAUAUUUCAAUAUUUGCCGACAAGCAUUUUUUGGCAUACGAAAAAAGCGUUAGGCAAACAGCGAAUAUACAGCAGUCAAGCACACACACACACACACGCACAAUGGCUCACUCACACACUCUCCGCGGGACAGCAUAAUUUGAGUCUAUUUGGCGUGUAGCAUACUUUUCCGCGCUACAGCAAAGACAACAACCUGAAAGCAAU
rnacentral:sRNA from 1 species